rnacentral:tRNA from 1 species
GGGGAUGUGGCGGAAUUGGUAGACGCGCUACGUUCAGGACGUAGUGAGCUUCGGCUCGUGAAGGUUCAAGUCCUUUCAUCCCCACCA